rnacentral:rRNA from 1 species
GACGAACGCUGGCGGCGUGCUUAACACAUGCAAGUCGAACGGAAAGGCCCUGCUCUUGUGGGGUGCUCGAGUGGCGAACGGGUGAGUAACACGCGUGUAACCCGCCCUUGUCUUUGGGAUAACUUCAGGAAACUGGGGCUAAUACCGGAUAGGAGCUCCUGCAGCACGGGGGGGGAUGGAGAGUGUCGGCGGUUGGGUCUGGUCUCGCGGGUUAUCAGCUGGAUGGUGGGGUAGGGGCGGACCAAGGCUUCGACGGGUAGCCGGCCUGAGAGGGUGACCGGGCACCAUGGGCCUGAGGUACGGCGCAGACUCCUACGUGACGCAGCAGUCGGGAGUAUGGCACAACGGGCCGGCGCCUGAUGCAGCAACGCCGCGUGCGGGAUAACGGCCUUCGGGUUGUAAACCGCUUUCGCCUGUGACGAAGCGUGAGUGACGGUAAUGAGUCAAAAAGCACCGGCUAACUACGUG